ACUACGGGAGGCUGCAGUCGAGAAUCAUUCACAAUGGGGGAAACCCUGAUGGUGCGACGCCGCGUGGGGGAAUGAAGGUCUUCGGAUUGUAAACCCCUGUCAUGGGGGAGCAAAUGAAAAGGAUAGUACCACAAGAGGAAGAGACGGCCAACUCUGUGCCAGCAGCCGCGGUAAUACAGAGGUCUCAAGCGGUGUUCUGAAUCACUUGUAGUAAAGCGUGCGUAGGCUGUUUCGUAAGUCGUGUGGGAAAUGUGCGGGCUCAACCCCCGGCCGGCACAUGAUACUGGGAGACUAGAGUAAUGGAGGGGAAACCGGAAUUCUCGGUGUAGCAGUGAAAUGCGUAGAUAUCGAGCGGAACA
rnacentral:rRNA from 1 species